rnacentral:rRNA from 1 species
UACGUAGGUGGCUAGCGUUGUCCGGAUUUACUGGGCGUAAAGAGCGCGCAGGCGGUCGUUCAAGUCGAGUGUGAAAGCCCCCGGCUCAACUGGGGAGGGUCACUCGAUACUGAUCGACUCGAAGGCAGGAGAGGGAAGCGGAAUUCCCGGUGUAGUGGUGAAAUGCGUAGAUAUCGGGAGGAACACCAGUGGCGAAGGCGGCUUUCUGGCCUGCUCUUGACGCUGAGGCACGAAAGCGUGGGGAGCAAACAGG